CACAGUGAAGAACUGUAAUAUUCAGAGUGUUCUGCGCCAUAGAGGGCAACUUUUGGUUAAAGCGCAAAAUGUGCAACAAGGGUAAAAUCUGCGUGUGUUGGUUACGGGAUUCAGGGCUACGUUUCUUACCACGAUAUUUUAUCAGCACGUUGAACCUGAGAGCAUCGUUUUUACGUGUCACCGUUGAAAGAAACUCUUUGCUGCUUCCUGCCUUCAUUACGAAUUAUUUCCAUUAAAAAUUCAGCUGGCCACCUAGACAACAACAACAACAAUAAAUGAAGAAGUGAUGAUGACAUGGGACGUUUCCUCGUGGUAGCCACAGGACCCUACCCCACUUCACAUUGAUUAAUAUGAGAGGAUGAAUUAUGGUGAAAGUGAAGCAACAACAGGGGAGCUCCGUGGGCCGAAUACUUUGGACAAGCUGAAUGGUCUAUGGUCAAGGAGUUCAAGUUUGCGUCGAAGCACCCGGCGUUCACACGUGUACCGGUCACAGUCCUCGAUGAUAUGGAGGAUCGUAUUCUCCACAACGGGAAUUCCAUUGACGUUGUAGGAAUUCUUCAUAACGACAGGGGUGGUUCACUGCGGAGCUGCUAGUAUACGACACGUGUGUGAAAAAGGCCCAUUUACCAUAAGAUACCUGUCAAAAGCUUUUGAAAGGUCUAGAAAUAUAGCGCCAUGCAGUCUG